UACGUAGGGAGCAAGCGUUGUCCGGAAUCAUUGGGCGUAAAGCGCGCGUAGGUGGCCUCAUAAGUCCGUUGUGAAAGUCAAAGGCUCAACCUUUGAAAGCCGAUGGAUACUGUGAGACUAGAGUCCGGAAGAGGCGAGUGGAAUUCCUGGUGUAGCGGUGGAAUGCGCAGAUAUCAGGAGGAACACCAAUGGCGAAGGCAGCUCGCUGGGACGUUACUGACACUGAGACGCGAAAGCGUGGGGAGCGAACAGG
rnacentral:rRNA from 1 species